CAGUCGCCGCGGUAAAACGAAGGGGGCUAGCGUUGUUCGGAAUUACUGGGCGUAAAGCGCACGUAGGCGGAUCGAUCAGUCAGGGGUGAAAUCCCAGGGCUCAACCCUGGAACUGCCUUUGAUACUGUCGAUCUGGAGUAUGGAAGAGGUGAGUGGAAUUCCGAGUGUAGAGGUGAAAUUCGUAGAUAUUCGGAGGAACACCAGUGGCGAAGGCGGCUAACUGGUCCAUAACUGACGCUGAGGUGCGAAAGCGUGGGGAGCAAACAGGAUUAGAUACCCCCGUAGUCCCUGUCUCUUAUAC
rnacentral:rRNA from 1 species